UUGUAAUUUACCUAUGUAUUGUACGUAGCCUGUUUGAACACAUUGUAAUGGGGUGCCCCAAAGAUAAUCUGUUUUGUAUAUGGAAGUCAUUUUGAACAGCUGUUGUAGUUUUGCACAUGUACAGUGAUCAGUGGCUUAUGAUAACUCCGGAACUACCAGUGGCUGCGCACUACGAACUGACAGAAUGGCUCAGUGGCCUUCCGUCAACACGUCACAACGCACAAUGCUGUUUGACUCAGUUAACGGUCAUUCCAUCUCAUCAGGAUUGUCAAGGCUCAACUUUACAAACUGUAUGAUGAACGAAGUGACUAAUAACCAAAAGAGAGAAAAGAAUGUAAAAUAGUGGUAAAAAUAAACUGGAAUCCUCAUAAACUACUAGAUGGGGUGGAUUCAUAUCUCUACUAGUACAAUUAAUCACAUUGAAGUGUGCUGAAUCAGCAACAGUCACCAAAUUCAUACUUUUACAAGACCAGUGGUGUUGGUUCUACACGGAUUAGGCAGUUACUGGCGAGAAGUAACGCCGUCUUCAGAUGUGGAUGAAAGGACAUCAGAUCUACAAAUAACAUCAGCAGCAAAAUCAACAUCAUCUCAGCACGAAUAACUCUCAGAUUCGUUUUCUGUUACUACAUUCGCCAACGUUACACACAAUGUAACAACAGAGAUGAUCCUACAGUCAUUUCACUAA